GUGGGGAAUCUUCCGCAAUGGACGAAAGUCUGACGGAGCAACGCCGCGUGAGUGAUGAAGGUCUUCGGAUUGUAAAGCUCUGUUAAUCGGGACGAAAGAGCCUAGUGUGAAUAAUGCUAGGAAGUGACGGUACCGGAAUAGAAAGCCACGGCUAACUACGUGCCAGCAGCCGCGGUAAUACGUAGGUGGCAAGCGUUGUCCGGAAUUAUUGGGCGUAAAGCGCGCGCAGGCGGAUCUGCCAGUCUGUCUUAAAAGUUCGGGGCUUAACCCCGUGAUGGGAUGGAAACUACAGAUCUAGAGUAUCGGAGAGGAAAGUGGAAUUCCUAGUGUAGCGGUGAAAUGCGUAGAUAUUAGGAAGAACACCAGUGGCGAAGGCGACUUUCUGGACGAAAACUGACGCUGAGGCGCGAAAGCCAGGGGAGUGAACGGGAUUAGAAACCCUGGUAGUCC
rnacentral:rRNA from 1 species